UGACCGCUGGCGGCGUGCCUAAUACAUGCAAGUCGAGCGAACAGACGAGGAGCUUGCUCCUCUGACGUUAGCGGCGGACGGGUGAGUAACACGUGGAUAACCUACCUAUAAGACUGGGAUAACUUCGGGAAACCGGAGCUAAUACCGGAUAAUAUAUUGAACCGCAUGGUUCCAUAGUGAAAGACGGUUUUGCUGUCACUUAUAGAUGGAUCCGCGCCGCAUUAGCUAGUUGGUAAGGUAACGGCUUACCAAGGCGACGAUGCGUAGCCGACCUGAGAGGGUGAUCGGCCACACUGGAACUGAGACACGGUCCAGACUCCUACGGGAGGCAGCAGUAGGGAAUCUUCCGCAAUGGGCGAAAGCCUGACGGAGCAACGCCGCGUGAGUGAUGAAGGUCUUCGGAUCGUAAAACUCUGUUAUUAGGGAAGAACAAAUGUGUAAGUAACUAUGCACGUCUUGACGGUACCUAAUCAGAAAGCCACGGCUAACUACGU
rnacentral:rRNA from 1 species